AAAAAAAAAAGAAAGAAAAGAAAAUGGAUAUUCCUUUCCAUUGAGGAAGAUGGUUCAGAGAGAUUAACUUGACUUGUCCAAAGUCACAAACCUAGUAUAUGAUCCUGGAACUGAGACUCAGAGGCAGGCAGUGUUCUACACUGAAAAGAGCAUAGGGAAUGGCAAGAUUCCACAAGCUGGCAAGCUUGUAGUGAGAGAUACACAUGCACUGUUGGUGUAAAAUUGCUAAACAUCUCUAGUGAGCAGUUUUGCAAUGUAUUUUAAGUGACUAUCCCCUUUGAUCUAGCAAAUCCACUUACAUAUUACCUAUUUUAACUCGCAGAUAUUUCCAGGCCUAUGUGUGAGAAUAUUAAGUUCAAUAUUGUUGAAAUAACAAUAGAUUGAGAGCUAGUUAAUAAAUUAUAUUGCAUAUACCCAUUUAAUAAAAUACUAUACAAUUAUUAAAGAGUCUACUCUUUAUGGACUGAUAGGAUCAGAUCCAAACCAUAUUAAUAAAAUUAGCAAAGUACAGAACUGUGUAUGUAUUUUUUUAAUCAUUUGCCUUUAAAAAGAAAAUUUAUACACACACACAAACACACACAGAGAUAGAUUUUCCAUCUCUUGAAAGAUUCAAAGAAACUAACAGUGAUUACCUCUGGGGAAAGGAACUAGGUGACUGAAGAACAGGAUAAGAGGAAGAUUUAUUUUUCACCAUAUAUGCCUUUUUGUAUCUUUUAAAAGAUGUACCUUAUAUUUCCUUUUUUUAAUAAAAGAGCAUAGGAAUUGCAUUCAAAGAGAAUUUAAUAUUAUUAUUAUUGUUGAGACGGUGUUUUGCUCUUUUUGCCCAGAGUGGAGUGCAAUGGCAUGAUCUCAGCUCACUGCAACCUCU
rnacentral:lncRNA from 1 species